GUCGGGAUGGCGGAAUUGGUAGACGCGCACGUUUGAGGGGCGUGUGGAGAAAUCUGUGAGGGUUCAAGUCCCUCUCUCGACA
rnacentral:tRNA from 4 species